CGUAGGGUGCGAGCGUUAAUCGGAAUACUGGGCGUAAAGCGUGCGCAGGCGGUUUGUUAAGUCUGAUGUGAAAGCCCCGGGCUCAACCUGGGAAUGGCAUUGGAAACUGGCAAGCUGGAGUGUGGCAGAGGGGGGUGGAAUUCCGCGUGUAGCAGUGAAAUGCGUAGAGAUGCGGAGGAACACCGAUGGCGAAGGCAGCCCCCUGGGCCGACACUGACGCUCAGGCACGAAAGCGUGGGGAGCAA
rnacentral:rRNA from 1 species